rnacentral:misc_RNA from 1 species
UCUACUUCUACCGCCCGCGGCCUGAGAUUAGCUCGGGGUUCAUGGAUGCGAGAGCUAUGAUGGAGGCGCUGUCGAAGGCGCUGGUGCCAUUUUAUCCGAUGGCGGGGAGGUUGGCGAGGGACGAAGAUGGGAGGAUAGAGAUUGACUGUAGUGGUCAGGGGGUGUUGUUCGUGGUGGCCGAUACGGACUCGAAAAUUGAUGAUUUUGGGGAUUUUGCUCCGACGAUGGAGCUGAAGCAGCUGAUUCCGAGGGUGGACUAUACUGAUGAUAUCUCAUCCUUCCCACUACUUGUCCUCCAGGUUACCUACUUCAAGUGCGGUGGCUCUUCCCUCGGUGUUGGCAUGCAGCACCACGCCGCUGACGGCGCUUCUGGCCUCCAUUUCAUCAACUCCUGGUCUGACAUCUGCCGUGGCCUUGGCGUUGCUGUCCCGCCCUUCAUCGACCGGUCCCUCCUCCGCGCCCGUGACCCUCCCACCCCCUCCUUCCCUCACGUCGAGUACCAGCCCGCUCCCCCAAUGAAGUCCACCGCUGCUACCAUCAUCUCCCACCCGCAACCGCGCUCUGUCAAGUCCGCUUUCGCCAAUGGCGGCUCAGACACAGCCGUCAACAUAUUCAAAAUCACACGCGAUCACCUCAACAUCCUCAAAUCCCGCGCACCCUCAGACAGCAAGUUCAGCAGCUACACUCUGCUGAGCUCCCAUGUCUGGCGCUGUGCCUGUAUUGCACGCGGCCUUCCCGAUGACCAGCCAACUAAGCUCUACAUCGCCACAGAUGGACGCCAGCGACUCCGCCCACAGCUCCCACCAGGCUACUUCGGAAAUGUCAUAUUCACUGCAACCCCAAUGGCAUCUGCGGGGGAGCUGAGUGGCGAAAAUGGUGUGCAGGUGGGAGCUGCGCGGAUAACCGCAGCAAUUGCGCCUAUGGAUGACUCAUACCUCCGGUCUGCACUGGACUACCUGGAGCUGCAGCCUGAUUUAGCGGCACUGGUCAGGGGUGCUCACACUUUCAGGUGUCCUAACAUCGGGAUAACAAGCUGGGCAAGGCUGCCGAUACAUGACGCUGACUUUGGAUGGGGGCGACCAAUCUUCAUGGGACCUGGAGGGAUUGCUUAUGAGGGACUGGCUUUUGUGCUGCCGAGCGCUACCGGAGAUGGGAGUCUGUCACUUGCUAUUUCUCUGCAGCCUGAUCAUAUGAUGCGAUUUCAGAAGUUGCUCUAUGAUAUGUAGUUGUUUGGGCAUUGACAAUGGGAAGGAAAUAAGGGAUGGGAGUUGGGAG